UCCUACUCUUACGGGAGGCAGCAGUGGGGAAUAUUGCACAAUGGGCGCAAGCCUGAUGCAGCGACGCCGCGUGAGGGAUGACGGCCUUUGGGUUGUAAACCUCUUUCACCCAUGACGAAGCGCAAGUGACGGUAGUGGGAGAAGAAGCACCGGCCAACUACGUGCCAGCAGCCGCGGUAAUACGUAGGGUGCGAGCGUUGUCCGGAAUUACUGGGCGUAAAGAGCUCGUAGGCGGUUUGUCGCGUCGUCUGUGAAAUCCCGCAGCUCAACUGCGGGCUUGCAGGCGAUACGGGCAGACUCGAGUACUGCAGGGGAGACUGGAAUUCCUGGUGUAGCGGUGAAAUGCGCAGAUAUCAGGAGGAACCACCGGUGGCGAAGGCGGGUCUCUGGGCAGUAACUGACGCUGAGGAGCGAAAGCGUGGGUAGCGAACAGGAUUAGAUACCCUGGUAGUCCACGCCGUAAACGGUGGGCGCUAGGUGUGGGUUUCCUUCCACGGGAUCCGUGCCGUAGCCAACGCAUUAAGCGCCCCGCCUGGGGAGUACGGCCGCAAGGCUAAAACUCAAAGGAAUUGACGGGGGCCCGCACAAGCGGCGGAGCAUGUGGAUGAAUUCGAUGCAACGCGAAGAACCUUACCUGGGUUUGACAUGUACCGGACGACUGCAGAGAUGUUGUUCCCCUUGU
rnacentral:rRNA from 1 species